GCCUGGAUAGCUCAAUUGGUAGAGCAUCAGACUUUUAAUCUGAGGGUCCAGGGUUCAAGUCCCUCUCUAAGCA
rnacentral:tRNA from 2 species